UGGGGAAUUUUGGACAAUGGGCGAAAGCCUGAUCCAGCAAUGCCGCGUGUGUGAAGAAGGCCUUCGGGUUGUAAAGCACUUUUGUCCGGAAAGAAAUCCUUGGCUCUAAUACAGUCGGGGGAUGACGGUACCGGAAGAAUAAGCACCGGCUAACUACGUGCCAGCAGCCGCGGUAAUACGUAGGGUGCAAGCGUUAAUCGGAAUUACUGGGCGUAAAGCGUGCGCAGGCGGUUUGCUAAGACCGAUGUGAGAUCCCCGGGCUCAACCUGGGAACUGCAUUGGUGACUGGCAGGCUAGAGUAUGGCAGAGGGGGGUAGAAUUCCACGUGUAGCAGUGAAAUGCGUAGAGAUGUGGAGGAAUACCGAUGGCGAAGGCAGCCCCCUGGGCCAAUACUGACGCUCAUGCACGAAAGCGUGGGGAGCAAACAGGAUUAGAUACCCUGGUAGUCCACGCCCUAAACGAUGUCAACUAGUUGUUGGGGAUUCAUUUCCUUAGUAACGUAGCUAACGCGUGAAGUUGACCGCCUGGGGAGUACGGUCGCAAGAUUAAAACUCAAAGGAAUUGACGGGGUCAUAGCUGUUUCCU
rnacentral:rRNA from 1 species